rnacentral:rRNA from 1 species
GACGAACGCUGGCGGCGUGCUUAACACAUGCAAGUCGAGCGGUAAGGCCCUUUCGGGGGUACACGAGCGGCGAACGGGUGAGUAACACGUGGGUGACCUGCCCUCAGCUCUGGGAUAAGCCUGGGAAACCGGGUCUAAUACUGGAUAUGACUCCAUGACGCAUGUUGUGGGGUGGAAAGCCUUGUGCGGCUGAGGAUGGGCCCGCGGCCUAUCAGCUUGGUUGGUGGGGGUGAUGGCCUACCAAGGCGACGACGGGUAGCCGGCCUGAGAGGG